rnacentral:rRNA from 1 species
UGAAACCAGGUUAGAUACCCUAUUAUACUAAGAUUGAAAAAAGUUAAUCUUGAGCAGUAAUAAUUAAUUAGUUUGAAAUUCAAAGAAUUUGGCGGUACUUUAGUCCGGUUAGAGGAACCUGUUUCGUAAACGAUAAACCACGCAAAAUCUUUAUCAUUCUUAUUUCAAUUAGUAUACCGUCAUUACUAGAUGAUUUAUCGUUAAAAAAUCAUUGUAAUUGGUAGAGCCAAAUAUAUUAGAUCAAGGUGCUGUUAAUGAGUGAGUGUUAAAUGGGUUACAAUAAAAUUAACUUAUUACGGAUUUGUAGACGAAAUUCUGUUCUGAAGGAGGAUUUAACAGUAAUACAAAUUUAAUAAGUUUGUGUGAGAUUGGCUCUAGAGUAUGUACAUAUCCCCGUCGCAA